ACACUCCUGCGGGAGGCAGCAGUGGGGAAUUUUGGACAAUGGGCGAAAGCCUGAUCCAGCAAUGCCGCGUGAGUGAAGAAGGCCUUCGGGUUGUAAAGCUCUUUUGUCAGGGAAGAAACGGUGAGAGCUAAUAUCUCUUGCUAAUGACGGUACCUGAAGAAUAAGCACCGGCUAACUACGUGCCAGCAGCCGCGGUAAUACGUAGGGUGCAAGCGUUAAUCGGAAUUACUGGGCGUAAAGCGUGCGCAGGCGGUUUUGUAAGUCUGAUGUGAAAUCCCCGGGCUCAACCUGGGAAUUGCAUUGGAGACUGGAAGGCUAGAAUCUGGCAGAGGGGGGUAGAAUUCCACGUGUAGCAGUGAAAUGCGUAGAUAUGUGGAGGAACACCGAUGGCGAAGGCAGCCCCCUGGGUCAAGAUUGACGCUCAUGUACGAAAGCGUGGGGAGCAAACAGGAUUAGAUACCCUAGUAGUCCCA
rnacentral:rRNA from 1 species